rnacentral:misc_RNA from 1 species
GGAAAAAGGAAGAUAAGGAACCUGGUUCUAAAGGCUAUUGCAUCAGAUGAUUUUGAGGAAGAAAAUAUUACCCUUAUAACCAAAAGGUUCACCAGAAUGCUAAAAAAAGGACAAGCCUUUCAAAAGAAAACUCCUCAAAAAUCAAAUGAAAACACUAAAGACCAGGUUUGUCAUAAGUGUGGAAGCCCAGAUUACUGCAUCAAAUUCUGCCCACUUUGGGCUUUAGAGAAGAAAAAGACAAACUCUGAGAAGGGCAAAGA